rnacentral:rRNA from 1 species
UACGGGGGGGGUAAGCGUUGUUCGGAAUUACUGGGCGUAAAGGGCUCGUAGGCGGCCAACUAAGUCGGACGUGAAAUCCCUCAGCUUAACUGGGGAACUGCGUCCGAUACUGGAUGGCUUGGAUUUGGGAGAGGGAUGCAGAAUUCCAGGUGUAGCGGUGAAAUGCGUAGAUAUCUGGAGGAAUACCGGUGGCGAAGGCGGCAUCCUGGACCGACAUUGACGCUGAGGAGCGAAAGCUAGGGGAGCAAACGGG